rnacentral:rRNA from 1 species
CAGCCGCCGCGGUAAGACGAACCGUGCGAACGUUAUUCGGAAUCAUUGGGCUUAAAGCGCGUGUAGGCGGAUGGGAGCGUCGGUCGCUGAAAUACCCCGGCUCAACCGGGGAACUGGCAUCGAAACGACCCGUCUCGAGGGGCAUAGGGGGAGCUAGAACUUCCGGUGGAGCGGUGAAAUGCGUUGAGAUCGGAAGGAACGCCCGUGGCGAAAGCGAGCUCCUGGAUGUCUUCUGACGCUGAGACGCGAAAGCUAGGGUAGCGAACGGGAUUAGAUACCCCGGUAGUCCCUGUCUCUUAUA